UACAGAGGUGCCGAGCGUUAGGCGGAAUCACUGGGCUUAAAGCGUGUGUAGGCGGCCUUCUAAGUAUCUUGUGAAAUCCCACGGCUCACCCGUGGAACUGCUGGGUAUACUGGUCGUCUUGAGCCACCUAGGGGCCAGCGGAACAAAUGGUGGAGCGGUGAAAUGCGUAGAUAUCAUGUGGAACGCCAACGGUGAAAACAGCUGGCUGGGGGUGUGCUGACGCUGAGACACGAAAGCCAGGGGAGCGAACGGG
rnacentral:rRNA from 1 species